ensembl:misc_RNA Metazoa_SRP Metazoan signal recognition particle RNA
GCUGGGCACGGUGGCUCAUGCCUGUAAUCCUAGCACUUUGGGAGGCUGAGAUGGGCGGAUCACUUGAGGUCAGGAGUUCAAAACCAGCCUGGCCAACAUGGUGAAACCCCAUCUCUA